GUGCUCGCUUCGGCAGAACAUAUACUAAAAUUGGAACGAUACAGAGAAGAUUAGCAUGCCCCCUG
ensembl:snRNA U6 U6 spliceosomal RNA